CGUUAAUGGCAGUAGAUCUUAAGCAAGAUGUGAAGGAAAACCCUAAUUUUCAGUCUAUCUUUUCGUUGGGAGACGUUUCAAUUUCGUUUCAGUCAGAAGCAUCUCUCUAUCCAUACAUCCGAGUGGAAAUGGCCAUGGAAAUGUCAGAUUUCUUCUCAGAUCUUGCAUUUUCCUGCAAUUGAGGCGUGUUGAAAGCAAAAGACAGACGAAUACCACGCUUUCCGACGAUUUUCCGCAAGAGGACGCUGCGGAUUUGUUAAUUUCAGGCUUUCUGAAGGUUCUUUUAGCAGAUUCGGUGAUUUUCAAGUUUUUUUUUUCCUCGAUUUGUAACAGAUUCCAGGGUUCUUAGGGGCAGAUUCAUAGAAUUAGGGUUUUCUGUGGUGUUUUUGUUUUGAAUGAUUUGGUGGUUUCUAGGGUUCGUUGUGUGCUUCUGUGGGUUUUUGAAGGGUUUCAAGUAUUCUUGUUAUUUGCAUAAUUGAAGGGUUUCAAAAACUGCUACAGCUGCUCACAGGGGUGGUUAUCAGGAAUCAACUCUGUAUAUGCACCAUUCAUUUGGUGGGCCCCACCAUGUGUUGUGCGCAAAAAUCAGAACAGUCCUGUCAUCAGCUAGGGGAACAUGUGCGUUAAGGGUGUGGACUGUUAGACAUUUUUUUUUCCUUAACCAUCUUAUACAUGAACUCAGCCAAGGACAUGUCCAGCCUAAUUUUUAGGCUGUGCAUAUGCGCAAGCGGCACCAGAUCAAUCGCCCUGCAUCAAACAUAUGCCACACUAGCACAUGUACAAGAAAUACAAAUUGGAUCAAAUGAAUGACAGAUCUGGCCCGAUUUUUUUGCUAUAAUGCAUAUGCAGAAGCACCACCAGAUCAACAGUCUGGAGAUCGCGAAGAGUAGUAUUCAGAUGGCUUCCUGCACUUUUCUCCAAUAACAUGGUGGUGAAACUGUCUUGAUUACGUUGAUAUGGUGGGCCACAAUAUAUGUGGAUGAUGAGACAACUAUUUGACUAUCCAAUUGUUGUGAGUUUUACUUUGUUGAGUGUAGGCCACUGCUGUUGACUCUUCCUUUGGCAGGCCACUACUUGUGUGAGGGUUCCUGAAGUCCAAUCCUAUUCUCUCUGGGAUAUGGCUAGGAGUAUAUAUAUCCAUCUUCUCCUACAUGUAUUGGCCAUCUGAUUACUGGAUCAGACUGACUUCGGGCCUGGGCAACAGUUGGAUCAUCAUCUCAUUUUUUUAUUAUUAUUAUUUUUUAAUGUUAUAUAGAUAUGCUAUAUGUUGACAAACAUGCUGCAAGGAUUUAAUUGUGUUUAUUUCAUUUGUAUCAUGCAGAAGGCUUCCUUCUACAAAUGUUCAGUCACCUGACAUAAAUGCACUGUAGUUCUGGAAAUGAGCAGUCCUACUUAGUGACAUUGAUAAUUAGUGGAGCAAUUAGCUACUUUGCUGGAUGGAAAAACUGUAUGCAACUUCAAGACAGUUUUCAUGCCCCAAUGCAGCAUGGCCCUGUACUUCUGUACUGCUCAUGAGUUGUUUUAGCAUAAAUUAGUGGCACAUUGUUUUUAGAUUUUAAUUAGAAAUUUUUUGACAUUCAAGCUCUUGCUCUUGUAGGAGGAGCUACAGUUUAAUUAGAUUUGUUUUCUUUUUGAUAUAUGAGCUCUUGCUUUUACAGGAGAAGCUAACUGGCACGCAGGAAGCGAUUGGAUGGGAUGUAGAGGA